GUGUCAGCCGCCGCGGUAAUACGUAUGGGGCAAGCGUUGUUCGGAGUUAUUGGGCGUAAAGGGCGUGUAGGCGGCUCAUCAAGUCUGGUGUGAAAUCGCGGGGCUUAACCCUGCGUAUGCGCUGGAAACUGGUGGGCUAGAGUUCUUGAGGGGAAGCUGGAAUUCCAGGUGUAGGGGUGAAAUCUGUAGAUAUCUGGAAGAACACCGGUGGCGAAGGCGAGCUUCUAUCAGAGGACUGACGCUGAGGCGCGAAAGCGUGGGGAGCAAACAGGAUUAGAUACCCCAGUAGUCC
rnacentral:rRNA from 1 species